UACGUAGGGCGCAAGCGUUGUCCGGAAUUAUUGGGCGUAAAGAGCUCGUAGGCGGCCUGUUGCGUCCGCUGUGAAAUCCCGGGGCUUAACCCCGGGCCUGCAGUGGAUACGGGCAGGCUGGAGGCAGGCAGGGGGAGAACGGAAUUCCCGGUGUAGCGGUGAAAUGCGCAGAUAUCAGGAGGAACACCGGUGGCGAAGGCGGUUCUCUGGGCCUUACCUGACACUGAGGAGCGAAAGCGUGGGGAGCGAACAGG
rnacentral:rRNA from 1 species